rnacentral:lncRNA from 1 species
UGGUUUUGGGAGUUGGAGGGGAAAUUAGGAUGUGGGAUUUGGAGAAGAUAGUGGAAGAGAGUAGAGGGUUGGAGGAGAGAGCGGACGCCAUUGUUGGAGGGGUUUUGAGCUCUCUUGACUUAUACGUGGUCUUGGUUCUUUCUCAAGCUUAUAUAUAUUAUCCCGUUUCUGCUGUAAAUCUCCUUGUUGUGCUGGUGGUGUGG